rnacentral:rRNA from 1 species
AGGGUUUGAUUAUGGCUCAGGACGAACGCUGGCGGCGUGCCUAAUACAUGCAAGUAGAACGCUGAAGAGAGGAGCUUGCUCUUCUUGGAUGAGUUGCGAACGGGUGAGUAACGCGUAGGUAACCUGCCUGGUAGCGGGGGAUAACUAUUGGAAACGAUAGCUAAUACCGCAUAAAAUUGAUUAUUGCAUGAUAAUUAAUUGAAAGAUGCAAUUGCAUCACUACCAGAUGGACCUGCGUUGUAUUAGCUAGUUGGUGAGGUAACGGCUCACCAAGGCGACGAUACAUAGCCGACCUGAGAGGGUGAUCGGCCACACUGGGACUGAGACACGGCCCAG